rnacentral:misc_RNA from 1 species
GAUGAAGAACGUAGCGAAAUGCGAUAAGUAACGUGAAUUGCAGAAUUCAGUGAAUCAUCGAAUCUUUGAACGCACAUUGCGCCCUCUGGUAUUCCGGAGGGCAUGCCUGUUCGAGCGUCAUUUCGACCCUCAAGCAUUGCUUGGUGUUGGGGCACCGCCUGUAAAAGGGCGGGCCCUGAAAUCUAGUGGCGAGCUCGCCAGGACCCCGAGCGUAGUAAUUAUAUUUCGUUCUGGAAGGCCCUGGCGGUGCCCUGCCGUUAAACCCCCAACUUCUGAAAAUUUGACCUCGGAUCAGGUAGGAAUACCCGCUGAACUUAAGCAUAUCAAUAAGCGGAGGA